rnacentral:lncRNA from 1 species
UUGUUGCUGUUACUACACUGUUUUUAAAAUAAUUUUAUUUGGAGGAAGAUUCAUAGGUUUGUUGACUUAGGUAAAUAAAACAAGCUAAACUUGUAUUGGUAUUUCAUGUUAACUACCACUUCCUUAAUCAUGCGUACUUACAAGUAGCUUCUAAGUACUGUAUUUAAAUUUCAACUCUUGGAAUAGAAGGAGUUUCUGUCCUGCUACUAAAUGGCCUCUCUCCUGCUACUAAACAUAAGCCAAUGUAUGAUAUGCUCAACACUCCUUUGCUCAUGCUAUUCCCUUCUCUAGCCUUUCCUCUCUAAAAAUGUUAUCAUUCCUUCCUAACACAGCACAAAUGUCUCAUCCUUUAAGUCCCAAUGGCUCCAACCAGACGUGACUUUAUAAUGUUGUGUUGGGACCUACAUGUAAUCUGAGUGCCUGUCUUACCUCUUCUACUAGUAAGACAGUUUCUUCAUUCUACCUUAUUCAUUUUUGUAUAUUGCAAUUAAUACAUGCUUAAUGAAUGACAUCACCAUUACUGCCUUUUUUUCCCAUCAAGACUCUAAAAGUCAUAAGUAAAGUGGAGUGAGACUUCUGCUAUAACCCAGAGAAUUCUAUGAUUCAACUUAGCAGUACUGGGGGAAAAUAUUGUGAAGUAAGUAUCACCCAGUACACAUCAACUUCCUCUCUGAAUUGCAAAGACCACGCAU